rnacentral:misc_RNA from 1 species
GAUGAAGAACGCAGCGAAAUGCGAUACGUAAUGUGAAUUGCAGAAUUCAGUGAAUCAUCGAAUCUUUGAACGCACAUUGCACUCCUUGGUAUUCCGAGGAGUAUGCCUGUUUCAGUAUCAUGAGCACUCACACAUCUAACCUUUGGGUUAAAAUGUGGAAUUGGGAUGCGCCGGUUAUUAUAACGGCCCUCCUAAAAUUCAGUUCUUGGCUGCUUCCUACUACAGCAGUUUGGCCUAAUAGUUUUGAGUCUUCGAUUCAAAUCUUUGGCUAACAUUUGCUUCAGGAUGUCAGUCUUGAUAUACAGAAAUCUCAUUCAAACUUUGAUCUGAAAUCAGGUAGGGCUACCCGCUGAACUUAAGCAUAUCAAUAAGCGGAGGA